rnacentral:pre_miRNA from 1 species
AUGUUGGAGUUUGAGAAAAGUCAAUCGGACCUUAAUCGGACCUUAAAUGAGCUGGCAAUUAAUCGGACCUUAAAAAAUUUACAAGUUCGAUUGACUUUUCUCGAACUCCAACAUU